rnacentral:rRNA from 1 species
AUUGAACGCUGGCGGCAGGCUUAACACAUGCAAGUCGAGCGGGGUGAUGGUGCUUGCACUAUCACUUAGCGGCGGACGGGUGAGUAAUGCUUAGGAAUCUGCCUAUUAGUGGGGGACAACAUCUCGAAAGGGAUGCUAAUACCGCAUACGUCCUACGGGAGAAAGCAGGGGAUCACUUGUGACCUUGCGCUAAUAGAUGAGCCUAAGUCGGAUUAGCUAGUUGGUGGGGUAAAGGCCUACCAAGGCGACGGUCUGUAGCGGGUCUGAGAGGAUGAUCCGACACACUGGGACUGGCACACGGCCCAGCCUCCUACGGGAGGCAGCAGUGGGGAAUAUUGGACAAUGGGGGGAACCCUGAUCCAGCCAUGCCGCGUGUGUGAAGAAGGCCUUAUGGUUGUAAAGCACUUUAAGCGAGGAGGAGGCUCUUUUGGUUAAUACCCAAGAUGAGUUGACGUUACUCGCAGAAUAAGCACCGGCUAACUCUGUGCCAGCCGCCGCAGUAA